CCAGCCCAAUACACGAGAGGGGGACUAUAUAAGAAUCAAUGAAGCUGUCACUAUCACGAACUACCCCACGAUUUGGCAUAUUGGGUACAAUCGCAGAUAAAUACGGUAUAAGCACCACGCCCACACAAUAUCUAUCAUUUACCCAUGGAUCCGAUGGAUAAACGCUAUACGAUCCUAAGCAUGUAUAUAGAUCCAAUCUAACUAAGCCAAGUACAUAACUAUGAUAAACUAAGAACAAUAUAAUCUUGAAUAUAAACAAGUAGAGCAAAGUCAUAAGCAAUAUAUUGAAGUAGAACAAAGUCAUAUUCAUAAUAUUGAAGAACAAAGAUAAUUAGAAAGCAAUUAGAAGCACAAUUAGAGAAUUACCAAGAAUCCUCUUGACAGAUCCGGAAACCAAUCGAAGAUUGACUCCUUCUAGUUCUAAUCCUAUGUAGCUAUGCUAAUCUAGAUAUCUAAUUGAUGUGGUGGCUCUAAUCUUGAUCAGAGGCUUCUUCUCCCUUGAAGAACAAUGAAUUAGGGUUGAGAGGCUCUCUCCUCCAGGGGCCAGGGGUCUGGUUUUAUAGUCCCUUCAAGUGAAUAUGGGCCGUUGGAUCAAACCAACUUAGAUUGAACGGUUAUCCUUGAUCCUUUAGGUCGGUGGAGAUCUCCCGAGAAACAUAGUCCUGAUUGGACUCAGAGAGCGGGCGGGCGCCCAAGGAAGGAGGGCGGGCGCCCUGCCUCUGGCCCCGUUUGGCCUCCGCUUUCUUCCCGUGGCUUCUGGAGUCUUCUAGAUGUAAGAUAAUUGCGCGGCACGUUAAUAUCUCUAUGUAAUCCCGACGUGUGGGCCUUUCUUCCGUAUUUCCUGAUAACCCCCUACAGAAAUAGACAAACACCAAAACUCGUGGAAUUCUGUUAGAUAAAACCCUAAGUCUAGAUGUUGAUUUCAUUUGGAUCCUUUUCUUUGUUUAUUUGAUAAUUAAAUUUGAUACUUAAGGACCGUCAACAAACUCCCCCAAGCUUACCUCUUGCUCGUCCGUGAGCAAGGAUAGACUCAGUGAUGGAUCAGAAGUUGUUGCAAUACUUUUAAAAAUUGACGGUACACAUGCUUUUAAAUAAGAUCUUAUCUCUGAGUUAGAGUAAACUGUCAAGACUUAAAACUUACUUACUUUACCUUUUACCAUGGGACUUGUAACCGUCACUUCUGUCUUGAGUGGUUAAAAGAUAGAACAGUCUAGUUAAGUGCCAUGUCUCUUAUUCUUGAUCAGCUAUAGCUCUGGAUUUUUUUUUGCAGAUUUUCAAAUAAAACUCAGAGAUUCCUUGUAUGAUUCUCUCAGAUCUCUCUUUUGUGUUAUUUCUGGAUCCUUACCAAGGCAGUGAUGAUAUAUGCCUUCUCUCAAAAAGUGUGGUAUUUGUGGUAUAAAGCAUAGUGACAUUGCCUUCUCUCUCACCCUACUCUAAUAAGGUUUUAAUAUCUAGAGCUCAUAGGUGGGAGAUAAAAUAUACAUACUUAUAAGACAUGUAUUGCAUAGUCAAACCAUGGAUCCAAAGAAACAAAUCAAUAAGUCAAAUCAAGAUGUGCAUGUGUGGCGAAUGAAUGGUAUAUGGUGAUGAUGGUGAUAACAAUGGUGAAAGUCUAAUUCUACUUUUGCUCUUUUGAGGGGAUACAUACCUUCCUUGCUUUCUGAAACUUUUGAAGAGAAUGAGAUGCUCUUAUUUUUCUUUUCUCUCAGGUGGGUAUUUUGUACCCCUAAUUCUACUGUCGGACACUUGUCCAUUUUUACCUCUCGUCUCACUUUUUCUUUUCUUUCGAGGUUCCGGGCACUUGCCCCUUUUUAUUUCCUCGUGUUUUUUUUUCUUUUUUUAGAGCACUCAUCUCUUGAGAUAAUAUAGCAAGUGGUAGUAACAAGAUAACUUGAGCAUUUAUUUCACAGGGAAAAACAGGAAUAUUUUUGGCUAUUCUCUCCCGGAUUAGGAGUAGAAUAUUUUUAGGUGGUUCUGGAAAUGAAAAUGGGUGGAUAUAUAUGGAUGGUACUUCUAGAGUAGAAGUAGCAUAUAUGAGUGAACGUGCAAGUGAAAUCAUGAUUUUAACUACAUGACAAGCUCCUAAGGGUCUACACAGCUUGACCACACUCAAUGGUCAUAAGCAGUAAAUAGUAAAUGUGUGGCUCAAAGUCUAGCAAGCAUGUAUAUAUGGCUGUGGUAGGAAUUUAAACUCUCAUCAUACAGGAACUCAUCAUGCAAUAUUUUUAAGAUUUCUAAAGAUAAAAUUCUCCAGAAUUCUAGCAUCUCUAGGAACAGAUAAACAGCAGCUCAACCUUCCCAUAUCGUAUCCGUUAACAACUUAGACUUCAGUUCAAGUUUUCAUCUCACAAGUUUAGGUCUAGAGCAAGCUUUAAAUUAUAACAGUUAUCCGAUGGAUAAACACUAUCAUUUACCCAUAGAUCCGAUGGAUAAACGCUAUACGAUCCUAAGCAUGUAUAGAGAUCCAAUCUAACUAAGCCAAGUACAUAACUAUGAUAAACUAAGAACAAUAUAAUCUUGAAUAUAAACAAGUAGAGCAAAGUCAUAAGCAAUAUAUUGAAGUAGAACAAAGUCAUAUUCAUAAUAUUGAAGAACAAAGAUAAUUAGAAAGCAAUUAGAAGCACAAUUAGAGAAUUACCAAGAAUCCUCUUGACAGAUCCGGAAACCAAUCGAAGAUUGACUCCUUCUAGUUCUAAUCCUAUGUAGCUAUGCUAAUCUAGAUAUCUAAUUGAUGUGGUGGCUCUAAUCUUGAUCAGAGGCUUCUUCUCCCUUGAAGAACAAUGAAUUAGGGUUGAGAGGCUCUCUCCUCCAGGGGCCAGGGGGUCUGGUUUUAUAGUCCCUUCAAGUGAAUAUGGGCCGUUGGAUCAAACCGACUUAGAUUGAACGGUUAUCCUUGAUCCUUUAGGUCGGUGGAGAUCUCCGGAGAAACAGAGUCCUGAUUGGACUCAGAGAGGGGGCGGGCGCCCAGGGAAGGAGGGCGGGCGCCCUGCCUCUGGCCCUGUUUGGCCUCCGCUUUCUUCCAGUGGCUUCUGGAGUCUUCUAGAUGUAAGAUAAUUGCGCGGCACGUUAAUAUCUCUAUGUAAUCCCGACGUUUGGGCCUUUCUUCCGUAUUUCCUGAUAACCCCCUACAGAAAUAGACAAACACCAAAACUCGUGGAAUUCUGUCAGAUAAAACCCUAAGUCUAGAUGUUGAUUUCAUUUGGAUCCUUUUCUUUGUUUAUUUGAUAAUUUAAUUUGAUACUUAAGGACCGUCAACAUUGACCAUUAGACCAAACGUAGAACUUGAUGAGUGUAACAAACUUUGUAUUUAUGACUUUUCCAUUUGGGACCAUCUAGGGUUCGGUCAAAGUGUGUAUUCAUCAAGAUCUACAUUUUUAUAUGAUAAAUAGAUUUUUUAUUUGAUGAAAAUUGUACCCUACUUGCAUUCUGAGUAAUAAAUGACAAAAAUAAAAAGUUUAACAUCAAUAUGAUAUGAAAAUAGAUUUCCUAUUGACUAGAUAUAUUUUUUCUAAAUUUAUUGGAAUAAUAUAUUUUUGCAUUAACAAAAUACUAAACAUUACUU
rnacentral:lncRNA from 1 species